rnacentral:rRNA from 1 species
UAUUGGACAAUGGGCGAAAGCCUGAUCCAGCCAUGCCGCGUGUGUGAAGAAGGUCUUCGGAUUGUAAAGCACUUUAAGUUGGGAGGAAGGGCAGUUACCUAAUACGUGAUUGUUUUGACGUUACCGACAGAAUAAGCACCGGCUAACUCUGUGCCAGCAGCCGCGGUAAUACAGAGGGUGCAAGCGUUAAUCGGAAUUACUGGGCGUAAAGCGCGCGUAGGUGGUUAGUUAAGUUGGAUGUGAAAUCCCCGGGCUCAACCUGGGAACUGCAUUCAAAACUGACUGACUAGAGUAUGGUAGAGGGUGGUGGAAUUUCCUGUGUAGCGGUGAAAUGCGUAGAUAUAGGAAGGAACACCAGUGGCGAAGGCGACCACCUGGACUGAUACUGACACUGAGUGCGA